rnacentral:rRNA from 1 species
AUUGAACGCUGGCGGAAUGCUUUACACAUGCAAGUCGAACGGCAGCACGGGGGCAACCCUGGUGGCGAGUGGCGAACGGGUGAGUAAUACAUCGGAACGUGCCCAGUCGUGGGGGAUAACGUAGCGAAAGUUACGCUAAUACCGCAUACGAUCUACGGAUGAAAGCGGGGGACCGUAAGGCCUCGCGCGAUUGGAGCGGCCGAUGUCAGAUUAGGUAGUUGGUGAGGUAAAGGCUAACCAAGCCGACGAUCUGUAGCUGGUCUGAGAGGACGACCAGCCACACUGGGACUGUGACACGGCCCAGACUCCUACGGGAGGCAGCAGUGGGGAAUUUUGGACAAUGGGCGCAAGCCUGAUCCAGCCAUUCCGCGUGCAGGUCGAAGGCCUUCGGGUUGUAAACUGCUUUUGUACGGAACGAAAAGGCUCUGGUUAAUACCUGGGGCUCAUGACGGUACCGUAAGAAUAAGCACCGGCUAACUACGUGCCAGCCGCCGCAGUAA